rnacentral:misc_RNA from 1 species
UCCGUAGGUGAACCUGCGGAAGGAUCAUUAAAGAGUACCGGAGCUCUCGGGCUCCUACUCCCACCCUAUGAUGACUUUAAUCGUUGCUUUGGCGGACCGGCAACACUGCCGCCGGCCUAGGCUGGAUAGCGUCCGCCGGAGGAUUUUUAAACUCCUUUGAAGGUGAAUUCUGAGUCUUUGAAAAUUGAAUCAAAACUUUCAACAACGGAUCUCUUGGUUCUGGCAUCGAUGAAGAACGCAGCGAAAUGCGAUAAGUAAUGUGAAUUGCAGAAUUCAGUGAAUCAUCGAAUCUUUGAACGCACAUUGCGCCCCUUGGUAUUCCGAGGGGCACGCCUGUUCGAGCGUCAUUUAAACCAUCAAGCCCAGCUUGGUCUUGGACGCGGUCGAGUGACCCGUCCGCAACCCGUUGGCGGUGCAGUCCGGCUUCAAGCGUAGCAAGAAUCUCGCUUCAGGAGUCCGCGGCGGCGCCCGCCAGGCAAUCACACCCCAAAGUUUGACCUCGGAUCAGGUGAGGAUACCCGCUGAACUUAAGCAUAUCAAUAAGCGGAGGAAAAGAAACCAACAGGGAUUGCCUCAGUAACGGCGAGUGAAGCGGCAACAGCUCAAAUUUGAAAUCUGGCACCCGCGCGAGUUGUAAUUUGCAGAGGAGGCUUUGGAGUCGCCCCGGUCCAAGUUCCUUGGAACAGGACGUCGCAGAGGGUGAGAAUCCCGUACGCGGCCGGAUGGCUUCUCUGUGUAAAGCCCCUUCGACGAGUCGAGUUGUUUGGGAAUGCAGCUCUAAAUGGGAGGUAAAUUUCUUCUAAAGCUAAAUACCGGCCAGAGACCGAUAGCGCACAAGUAGGAGUGAUCGAAAGAUGAAAAGCACUUUGAAAAGAGAGUUAAAAAGUACGUGAAAUUGUUGAAAGGGAAGCGUUUGUAGCCAGACUUGGCGGCAGUUGCUCAACCGGUCUUUGCCCGGUGCACUCUUCUGUCGACAGGCCAGCAUCAGUUCGGGCGGCUGGAUAAAGGCAUUGGGAACGUGGCUCCUCGGAGUGUUAUAGCCCUUUGCACAAUGCGGCCAGCCCGGACUGAGGACCGCGAUUCACGGAUGCUGGCUU